GAUGAACGCUAGCGGCAGGCCUAAUACAUGCAAGUCGAACGGUGUCUUCGGACAUAGUGGCGCACGGGUGCGUAACACGUAUGCAACCUACCUUACAUUGGGGGAUAGCCUUUCGAACGGGAGAUUAAUACCGCAUAAGACAGUAGCUGGGCAUCCAGCAGCUGUUAAAGAUUUAUCGAUGUAAGCUGGGCAUGCGUCCAAUUAGCUAGUGGGUGAGGUAACGGCUCACCAAGGCAAUGAUUGGUAGGGGAACUGAGAGGUCAAUCCCCCACACUGGCACUGAGAUACGGGCCAGACUCCUACGGGAGGCAGCAGUAGGGAAUAUUGGGAAAUGGACGCAAGUCUGACCCAGCCAUGCCGCGUGCAGGAUGAAGGCGUUAUGCGUUGUAAACUGCUUUUAUACAGGAAGAAACGACUCUUGCGAGAGGCAUUGACGGUACUGUAUGAAUAAGCACCGGCUAACUCCGUGCCAGCCGCCGCGGUAAAAC
rnacentral:rRNA from 1 species